ACGGGUAUGGUGCUUCCAGUUAUGAAUACGAUAGUAAAUUUCACAGUUUUUACAAGCCUUUGGUAAGAGUGCAUGGUGCUAAACCCAUAGCGACUUAUAAAGGAAGCAAGAAUAUUGAGAAAAAUACCGGUAACUUGCAUAAAGUUGUUAAAAAUGACCGGUCAGACGAAAAACUCCUCAAGCUAUUUCGAUUGAGACCCAAAAAAGUGACUUUUAGAUCAAUUCUAGACGACGUCAAUACUUUCGUUAACAACGUAGAGUCCGCGUCCGAAGUGAGAAGACUAAAGUAUUCGAUACUUGACGUACUUGAAAAUAGUAAGAAGAAAGAGGUGUUGAGGCACAAAUUCGUGUCAGAUGAAAAGGAACCGCCACGAUUCUACGAUUACAACUACAACCAUGAAGGCAAUCCCAUAGUGACGAAGCCACCGAAGAAAUGGCUCCCUUAUUAUUCCUACUGGAACUACUGGACGUACGACAAGACUAUUCACCAGGACGACUGCAAAGGGAAGCUGGUUCAAAUUGGCAAGAUCUGCGUUGAGACACCGCCGCAUUAACCCUUAAUAUGUUAGUGGGAAUAUAUUUCCCACCAUUUUAUUUUUUAAUCUAUGUCCAAAAAUAAUAAAAAAAAAUAACUUGCUAUGGAUUAAAACACACAAUUUACUAAAA